GAUUAUUUCCCCCCCCGAAAAUCCAUUUGUAGUUUUUAGUAUGUUUCAAUACAUUUCAAAAUCGGAAGACCAUAGUUUAAGGUGUGAUGGUUAGGCCCAUCGAAGGCAUUCACACAUCUCGGAGUCCUGGAGACGAUGGGCCCCACCCUCUUGAAACCCCGCCCCCCCACACGUGCUACUGAGGUUAACUUAUGUGAACAGUGUCUUGAUGGAUGAGGACUGUGUCAACCAAGAGAAGGGGUGGAGGAACAAAGUCAGGAGAAAACAGGAUUUCCGCCACACAAAACGUUAGAAAAGGAAGUGACGAGUUCUGUCCCAGAGCUACAAGUCUCCAAUCUCGAGGAAACAGCGCCCCGGGAAGAUCUCGAGUUGACACGAACCCGCUGUGGCUCUUAACCCAAAGGAUGCAUCGUAAGGAAACAGGCUCACCCAGGAAGAAAUACCUGAGGAGAAUAUAAAUAAGCUGAAAGGUCAAAAGAAAUGGUCCGGAUUGUUGCACAGGAGGAAUUUCUUAAGCCGAUGAGAGAGAUACCAGUGAACGACUCGGAGAAUGGAAAGUUAACACACGUCCUCAGCAUCCGAGAAAAAGACAAGGAAAGAAUGGACGGUGGCAGCACUUGAAAAGGCGUGACGAAAGACACGAGCCGCACGUGUGUGCAAGAGGGAAACGUACAUCAAAUAGCACGCCAAUGAAAAUAUAUCUCCUGCUAGA